ACACGGAGGGUGCAAACGUUGUUCGGAAUCACUGGGCGUAAAGGGCGCGCAGGCGGUUUGAUUAGUCAGAUGUGAAAGCCCACGGCUUAACCGUGGAAGUGCAUUUGAAACUGUCAGACUUGAGUACCAGAGGGGGUAGUGGAAUUCCCGGUGUAGAGGUGAAAUUCGUAGAUAUCGGGAGGAAUACCGGUGGCGAAGGCGACUACCUGGCUGGAUACUGACGCUGAGGCGCGAAAGCGUGGGGAGCAAACAGGAUUAGAAACCCCGGUAGUCC
rnacentral:rRNA from 1 species